CGACCGGGCCGGGCCGCCAGGCCCCGCCAGCCCCCGCCGCUCACGCCUCAAAGUCGCCCUCGGGCAGCGGCAAAACUUUCUCAGCAGCGCGUCUCGCCACCGCCCUACGGGCCAGAGCGAGCGGCUUCGCACCUCCGGCAAAGCGCAGCAGCAUCUUCCGGCGUGCCGCUCGCCAGGGGAAGCGACCAGGAGGUGCCCUAAAUCCUGCCAGCGAGCCCCUGCGGACGGCUCACGGUGUGCCAGGCAGAGCCGAGCUGGAGCCCGGCGGGGAUUAGUGCCGCACAUCGGACACUGCCAUGAAAACUCAGCACACGCGUCCUUGGGGCUGCCGGGAGGAGACGGGAGGUUUGCAUUAUCCGGGCUCUGUGAGCCGGAUAGAUGCGCGUGAAACUCUAAUUAUACUUUUGGCUGCCAAAACCAGCCCCACACUCUUAGGUGAGCUUCACGUCUUCUAGAAGGCUACAGGCAAGGCAAGUCCUGUCAAACCAGUGCAAGUUACAAAACAGUCAUAAGGAGCCUACAGUGCAGCUACCAUGAGCCACAGAAACAAAGAAAAUGGGCAGCUUCAGAUGCACACAGGAUAAAGUCAGCAAGACCAAGGCAAGUCUCAUUCCACAAAGGACAGAAACACCUGUCCAAACUCAGCUGAACGUGACAAUCCAAGCAAAACCCCAAAGGUAUAGUGAGGAUUCAGCAUGCAUCACCCUUGUCCUGUGGACCACACUCCAGGCUCCUGGCCAGCCCCCUCAGCACAGUUGGUUUGCUGCUGGUCUUCUCCCAGUAGCCCUGAGAGGCUGCUAACACCCUUCCCCAUACACCAUGAGAAAUACAGGUUAUUUCCAGAGCUCAUGAACUGGCUGUUCUCUGGCUACAUGGCAUUCAUUGCAAGACCUGAACCUCCUUUGCCUCAGCCCUCCUCAGAAAGUCCUUCUGUCAAGAACCAGCAGAUGGACACAGAAGAAGUUUUGUUUCCUGAGGUGGCUUUACCUGAGGCUGAUUCCCAGCACACAACAGACUGUCACAUGUGGGAGGUGAAUGAAUGCUGCUAGCUCAUUUCUGUAGCUGCUCUUCUGCACUUUCCAAUAAAUAGGAACAAAGAGCUUCUUAUCUCCUAGCAAUUCAGAUCAUUAAAACAAAUCAGUGUAGUCAUACAUAUCCUUUUUAUGUUUUCUCGUGAGAGUUAAAAAAAACAAAUAAAGCAAAACAAAACGCCCUUACCUGUAGAGGAAGAAAAUGAAGGAAAAUACAAGAAUAUGAGUCAUACCACAAAAUAUUCACCUUAAUGCUCAUUUAAUAAUUUUGUACUUUUCUGACUUAGAGUUACUGAGUCACUAUUGUCACCAAAGCGAACCAAUAAUAAAAAAUACAAUCCAAUGCAAGUGAAAUACAACAGAUUAUUCACUUAUCUGGAGCCAAAGCAAAAAUAUAAUUAAUCUUUGUUAAUACAUGAUUUUAUGCUAUACCAAUUAAAGAUAGGUUGGGGACAUUUUCUCUAAUUAUUCACCAAAAGCAGUGCUUUAUAUUUCAGCCAGGAUUAUCCAGAGAAUAAUACACUUUUAUCCCUUUCCUCAAAACACACUUGUGCCCCAGGAAAUUUAACUGCCUCUAUCUAAUCCCAUGAAAGUCCUUUUCAUUGUUAUUUCUUGGUGGGAAUGUCAAUCAGAGAUGAAAAAGAGGAAAACAAAACACAGAGUGAGGUGGUUUGCUAGAAACAUCACGUCAGCCAGUGCCAAAAUUACAUCAGAUGGCAUAAAGAAGAAUCCCUUUGAAGAAGUGGCAUGGAAGAAAAGUGUCACUUUUUAUCCUACCUUAUAACUCAGGACAGAAAAAACUGCUUUUUGCAUUUGAAAUUUCAGCCUUAGAAAAGCAUCAGCUGGAAAUAUGGAAUGGAAUGGAAAUGGAAAGAAGCUGAAAGAAGAGGAACCAUUAUAAAAUAUCCCAUGUGUUACAACCCGUGCUUACACAAGAGAACAUGACUCAUUCUACUACAUGUGCAUCAGGGAAAUGAAAGUGCAGUGACUGCUGAGAGAAAAGACAGUAAAGUCUUCUCAGGCAUAGAUCAAGAAGACUCUUGUCAUGGGUGGUGUGCAGCUCAUAGAGGCUCCAUUACUCAGUUUUUGUGGUAGUCCAGCAGUACAAUGCCCCACCCAGGAGCCAGGAAUGCACCUCUGUGAGGAGGACAGAAGAGGGAUUGAAUGAGAAGAGCUGUCCUCAUGUGUGAAUGAGCUCAACAAACAGCAUUCCUCAUCUUGGCUCAUGUGUUUGACUGGUGGGGAGAAGCUGGAUCGAGGCACUGUGGUCUCUCCUACACACAGACCCAAGAAAAGGCAGGGAGCAGCUGCUGAUGGGACAGCUCAGCAUGGAGAGGAGCAGCCAGGACCUCAUGGAGGCCUGGAGGAGUCACACACAGAUACUUGCUAUAAAACAUACCCCAUGAUGCCACUAGGAUUUAUAAAUUGGGGAUUAGGAAGUGUUUGGGGGAAAACUACAGUUGAAAAUUAAGAUUCUGCUUCUCUGAUCUCAUCCUAUGCUUAAUGAAAGGGACAACCUAUUUACACCCAUGUCUUUAGACCUCCCCCCACUAAAUAAAUACAUAUUCUUUUUUAUGUUGAACAAGUAGAGAUUGACCUUAUUUAGCUUUUAUCAAACUGUAUCUUUUAUAUUAAACAAUGAGUGCAGUUACUAAACUCCCCUUUGCAGUAAUAUUUUAAACACUAACCACUAAAUGCCCAUUGCUCAAUGUCCUAGACCUGCUCAAGCAAGAAACAUGAAGUAUAUCAAAUUGGACUGUAAAUUAUGUGAGUUCUAUUUUGAGCGUGACAUCAUUCAUCCUGUUGUUUCAAUUUAAUUAUAUUUAGUCUUCAAUCCAUCCCCAGCAGCUCCAAUAUUUCACUUUUUGUUAGUUUGUCUGCUCUGCUCUGACUAGUGACUUACAAAAAUAACCACAUUUCAAAACAUCACUUCAGAAAAUUAACCCUAAAGCAGUGUUCCCAAGCCAUCAACACUUCUGUGCAGGAGAAAAAGUAUCCUGAGUGCCCAGUUGACAACAGUGGUUGCUGAAAGCAAUAACAGAAAAACAAGGUGAAAACUCAGAAAAACACACAUUCACAUUUCAUUUCUGGACUGUUUGAUACUCUAGAAUCUGAAUCUGACAGCAAAUACUGUCAUUACUUUAUUAUAACCUAGAUACAUAUGCUUAAAUCUUCCUAUUAAAAAAUCUUUUUUUAGAUGGUAUUUUCUGUGCCAGGUCCUACGUAUAAGAUGAUACUUUUCUUCUAGUAUUUUCAGUGAAAUUAUUUGGAAUAGUCAUUUAGUUGUAAAGGCAUUUUACAGGUCCUUUUUUUAAAGGAAAAUAUGUUAAAGGCAUAUAAAUUAUCCUCACUGAGCUUUUACUUUUAGAGUAAUAUUGUAAAAACUCCAAAAAUUACUCUGUAAUUUGGAAGGAAAAGCUUAAAUGAUAAAGUUUAAAUUUUAAAAUCAUAUUAAUUUUCCUUGGAUCAUGGACCAAUGCAUCAAGGUUAAAUAUUUGUGGAGGUAGUUUACAAAUGAUUGCAUCUCCACAGUACAAACAAUUCAUUUGGUACCUUCACUUCUGCAAAACUGAGUUUCUGUAGGCACUCACUAACCUAACCUAUUUUCUAUGUAAAAACCCCUUCCCAUAAAUAUACCUAGUUCUUCUGAACAGUCUUGCCUAAGAAGUUUAAUAAUGUAAAUGAAUUAUUUUAUUAGCUAUUGCCCCAGGACUGGACAUCAUGUCAUCACAAUACUCCAGCAAGUGCAGACAUGUCUCAAGCCCCAUUCUGCACUGACCAGCUUUGGUGGCUGCUCUGGUUUUACUUCUCAAACCUCAGCAGAAUUUCCCUUCCCUAAAAAAGAGGCUUUAGCCUGAGCCACAACUGCACCUCUUUAGACAGGAACAAAUGAUGCUUCAACAUUCCUUAUGGGAAUGCAGUAUUUAUCUAGCAAAUAGGGAUCCUACAGAUAAGGAGAGAGUGUAAAUAUACAUUUUUUCCUUAAUUCAAAUUAUAAGCCCAAACAUAAAAUACAAAGCUCAACAUUCCAACUAGCAAAAAUUAUUGCUACUUUGUUGUUGUGCUGGUGGGUUUUAAACAAGCCAGAAGUUCUUUAUUCUUUCCCAAACCUACCAACAGAAAGGUGGCAGUUUACAUUGCAAAGGACACUCACUAGUGGAAGUGGCAUUUCUGGGUUUUUUUCAGUCUAACAAGAAAAUCCUUUACAUCAACUCCUGCUAAAAUGAUGCUUAGCAGUGUUAGGGUAGGACAGGAAGUCUCACUCCAGGGCCUGCUUUUACAGAAGACCUAAUGUCUUAUGGUACAAUUUUCUAUUGUUCAUUAUUUAUUCAAAAUAUUUCUUUGAAAGUGACAAAGUUCUCUUUGAUGUAAGGCAAGAAGACAGUUUAUCAGAACCAUCUUUCACAUAAAAGUUAGUCUGGUUCAAAGCACCAAUAGAAAUAAUUUUGUGUGAAUAAAUGUAUUUUGAAGGCCAUCAGUUCGAAAUAGAACCUGGUGAUUACAUUUUGAAUGUGUCAAAAAUGAAAUUAAACAAACUGAGAGUGCAGCUGAGGCCUAACUGGCUCUAUUUCCCUCAAAUCCAGAUUUAUCAUUGCCUUCAUUGCUGGGUUUGGCUCAGCAUCUUGCCCUAGGGUGUUGAAUGACACCCUCAGGGUCCUGCUGGAAAAGAAUAAAAGCUUUCUCUCUCAGCUAACCAGUAAAGAGCAAGUCAACAGCACUCCAGGAACACCUAUUAAAGCCUACCAGAGUCUAAUAAAAAUAGUUACUUAAAUAUUAAAGCCAUUUCAUUGCUAGUGGCUGGAACACAAGAAAGCAGGCAUUUCAGCUGGUUCAAGUCUUCAUCAAAGGCUUAAAAGGAAAAUUUGUUCUAUUUUUAGGCACAAGCAUAGAAGCACUGUGCUUGCCAGCCCAUUUUAUUCUAACAUCAAAGGAAAUGAAUGUUUAAACCAAUUAUUUCUUAAAUCCUACAACUAAAAGUGGUGUCUCAGCCCCCUCCAUCAGUGCUACUGUACCCAGCCAGCCCAAAACAAACCAUGGCCAGUCAGAAGCAUUUAUGUCAACCAUAGGGUCAGGGUUUAUAAAUUCCUUCAGGGUGUUAAAAGCAUCAGAAACACCAUUUGUGUUUAGACAGAUGUAGAGGAACAACAGAUUACAAAUUUACAAGGCUCAACAGAAACAAAGGGUGCCAAGGGAAACAAAAGGUAAUGGGUACAAAUAAGAGAAGUUAAACUUCUUACCACUGAAUUUGAGAUAAAAAUAAAACCUCUCAUAAAAUAAACUUGCUCUAAUUCCAUAAUUGCACAAAAAACAAUAAGAUCUUUACUUUAAACUGGAUUGUAACACUGAGCACUAAAGCCAAGGAUCAUUUAAUCUUUUCCUUCCCUCCUGCUGCACACCAUUUCCACCCUGAAAAGCAGCAACAGGGAUUAGUUCAGUUCAGAGACAGGUUUUGUUGUGAAAGACUCAGCUCCACUCUAACAGCUAUGGGUUGGAGAGAAAAAAAUGCUCAUUGCACUGGGAAUUUUGGAAGCCCCCAGGUAAAAACCUGCCACAUCAAGCUUCAUUUUUGAUUGCCUGUGGAUGUCCUCACUGUCUGCUCUCUUCCCUUUCUCUACUUACCUGUCUCUGAGAUAGUCCACACUCAAUCAAAGUUUACAAAUUGAUCCUCACGUUUGACUAUUCUUAUGAGUGUGUUGCCAAAAUCAUGUAAGUAAAGGUUUGACUUUAUUUCACUGCAGUCUGGAAGAUUUCUGCUUUUUAUUUCAAAGACAAUUACACCUCUUACAUUUACACAUGUUCAUCUAGUUCUUUAAGCCAUUUAUGGGUAUGUCCAUGUAAACUCUUUCUCAGCAAGCUACUUAAAUAUGGUUUGUUUCUGCUGACUGGGAAAGACACAGCCUUGUAUGUCUUUGCAUGAAGUCCUUUUCAUAACAUUACAUUAAAGAAAUUAUCAAUACUCAUGAAUGUACAUCUGGAUUAUUUCUCAUAAAUAACAGAUCUAAUACAUGAGAAUGCAUGAUCUGAGUAUCAUCAACUGAUGGUGCAGUAAUCCCUGUCUUUCCUCAACUAACAUUCUCCUAUAGACAGUGGGUCUGUAUCAGCAAGUUUUGUCACAUCUAACAUUUAGGUUCAACACACUUCCAUGGCAGCCAUCCUUUUCUAUUCAAUACACACUGGGUCUCUAUAGCAACACUGGCCACAAACAGCUUUUUAGGCAUUAAAAAACCCCAAAAAUGUUCCAGACAGAGAGAUAAGUGUGAGUUUUGAUAGUGUGCAGGGCAUCAAGCUGACACCAGAAUUGCUCAGGGCAGCCCCAGGGAGCACACCAUGCACAGCAUUAAUACUGGGGACUCCCCAGCACAGGCACAUCAUUAGCACUGGGGGUACAAAUGCUCUAGAGAUGGGUGCUGGUCUUGACAGUGCUCAGAGAAAUUCAUGCUAUCCAGCAUCAAUAUGCACCAGGAAUUUUUCCACAUAGAUGGGAAUGCACCAUCCUUUUUCCAAUUGCCAGGCUAAGCCAUACACAACCAAGAAGCAGGGGCUCCUGGAAAGUGGUGCCAGUUAAAAAAGAGGGUUGAGUACAGCUCCAGUCUUUCCUGUAGGAGAUCAACUUGUGUAAAAGCAACAGCUACGUGUUGGGCAAAUGGUAAAACUCUGAAAUGUAUCUUUAAAAUGGUUUGCUAUUAACAGUUGGAACUUUCAUGUGUUCUAAGAAUCUUCCUGUGCAAACACAAAGAUGUAAGAAACAUGCAAAUGAAAGCCUAAGCGUAUGACUGCAAUGUGCAUCUGCCAAAGGCACAGCACUCAUCAUGGAUCAUCCAGUUCCCUUCUGCAGGCAAAACAUAAUUAGGUGGCCAAAGAAAGAGAACAGAACAAAACAAGCUCUGACACAUCACUGAGAAACAGCAGCUUUGACCUUUCAGCAUCCUGUGCAGCAACUUGCUGUAGCUCAACUGACAAAUCAUAAAAGAGAUGUUUCCUUCCUUCACUCUCUUAUACCAAAUUAAUAUCAACUACAUCAUGCAAUUCUUCUUACAUUUCCCUCUUAAUGAUCUUUGUGGAGGCUACCAAAAUACUACUGCAAGGUAAUACACUGUAGGGUUUCACUACUGAGCAAAAGAUGGAAGAAUAUUUAUUGUAGAGAACAAAAAGGACACAUUGGUAGCACAACUUGACUCCAGCCUGGGCUGUCAUUAGUUUACCUUUCUCCAUAAAGACAUCUCCCUGAAAAAUCUCUUCGGAAAAAAUUACUUUAAAGUGCAGGAAAAUCUCAAUAAACAUAGCCUUCCUGCCACUUGAAAACCAGUCUAGCCUCUCUAGUUUCCUAAUUGCUACCAGGCAGAAGUAAUUGUAACAAAAAUAAAACAGUUUUGCUUGACUUUGCCAUCCCUGCUGUGAUUCCAGAAGCUUAGAGAACCCUGCAAGAUAAAGCAGUACAUUUCACUGAGGAAUGAAAAAGAAAAACAUAUUGAAAUUUGGCCCAUUGCUUCUUGAUAUUAUGAGAGUAGAAUUAUUUCGGGACUAAAACCAGGCUCAUCAUAUAAAAUUAUUCCUUCUAUUGGAGGAAGAAGGAGGCAGCUUCCAGAGCAGCAGUGGAUUUUUCUAAUCUGCUUCACAUCACAUCAUCAUGGCUACAGAGCACAACUCCUGUCAGCACAUACUGUGGUUGUGCAGAAGCACACAGGAGCUUCUUUCCUUCCUGACCAUUAAAGAGUCAAAUCCCAACAUUGUGCAGAUAAAGAAAUUAUUCUUUAACUUGAGAGACAGAGCCUUUAAAAUAGGAGUUCAAAGUGGCCAUCAGGUUUUUUGCCUAUUUCUAAGCAGGCACCAAACUGUUUCCUGCAGCCAGGAAGUUAAACCAGCCUAGAGACACUUUUAAUGCCACCUGGUUAGGAACCAAAGUGUUGCCAGUUCCCAAUAACUGUAGGGUCAAGGUUCAAUGCCCUCCUUAGAAGGUGUGAGCUACAGAUUGAGGUAUUUACAUCACAAUCCCACCUUUAAAGUAAGGCCUCUGACUCUCAUGACUGCCAAGAUGUCUUUUAAAAGUUGUAAUGGCUCACAGAACAGAAGGCAACUACAAAUAACAAUUUCUUAUCUAAUUUUUAGGUGAGCCUCAUGUUGUUUGGGUAGAUGGUAGUGGGUGAUUCUGGUAGUGACGGUGUCCAGUUUAAUAGGUUCCAAGGCAGGAAAUCACUGGCUUCUGCACAUCCCAUCUAUAAAUGCUUGAAGGUACUCCAAUCCUUUAAACAGUAGGAGAACAUAGCAUGAAGGAUUAUUUCAUGACUACUUCAAAAUCAAUGUUUAAAACUUAGCCUUCACUUUGCAGCAGAGCUGGAAGGAAAAUAAAUCCGAGAAUGUGUCCACUCAAAAUAUGCACUUCCCAGCUCAACCUGCCAGCUUCUUUCCCCUGAGUCAGCAGGGACCUGAAGGAGACUAAACAGCUUCCUGCUAAAAGCUUCAGAGGUUAACUUCCCUCAGCUGUUAUCCUACCAAUUCAUUCGAGUUGAGCACGGAAAAGUAGAAGCCUGGCAGGAGAUCAACAUUUUUUUUUUAAUUUAAAUGCUAACAUUUCCAGUCUUUUUAACCUCAUUUUAGCAAGUUGAUAGAUUUGUUUGUGCCUUUUCACUCUGUCAGUAGAUCUUUUCAGAACAAUCCUAUUUGACAUUGACGUAAAGGUUACCAUAUGCAUCAGGCAGUUUGAACGUGUUGCUUAAGGAAGAGAAAGACAAAGUAACUCAAGGAAGACCCAGAGAAAGAAGCUUUGUAAAAGAACAUGUUUUCCUUUCUCUUCUAAACAUGUAGUUUAAGAUUAGUACUUUGCUAAAGUGAAGGAGAAUGCAAUAGUUGGCAGAAAGAAAGUAUGCUUUGUACAGUACUUAUUUGUCUAUAGACAAUAAAAUCUGCAUUAAAAAGUA